rnacentral:rRNA from 1 species
UACGAGGGGUGCAAGCGUUGCUCGGAAUUAUUGGGCGUAAAGGGUAGGUAGGUGGUCUUAUUUGUCCGGGGUGAAAGCCUUGAGCUUAACUCAAGAAGUGCCUCGGAAACGGUGAGACUAGAGUCUUGGAGAGGGUCGUGGAGUUCCCGGUGUAGCGGUGAAAUGCGUAGAGAUCGGGAGGAACACCAGAGGCGAAGGCGGCGACCUGGACAAGUACUGACACUCAACUACGAAAGCGUGGGGAGCAAACAGG